GGCUAGCAGUGGAGUCCCAAAUAAGACGAAACCCGCGUCCUGGAU
rfam:Schistosoma mansoni strain Puerto Rico chromosome 1, complete genome